AUUGAACGCUGGCGGCCGGCCUAACACAUGCAAGUCGAACGAGUGGCGGACGGGUGAGUACUGUCUGGGAAACUGCCUGAUGGAGGGGGAGAACUACUGGAAACGGUCGCUAAUACCGCAUACCAUCGGAUGUGCCCAGAUGGGAUUAGCUAGUAGGUGGGGUAAAGGAUCACCUGGGGGACGAUCCCUAGCUGGUCUUAGAGGAUGACCAGCCACACUGUAACUGAGACACGGUCCAGACGCCUACGGUAGGCAGCAGUGGGGACUAUUGCACAAUGGGCGCAAGCCUGAUGCAGCCAUGCCGCGUGUAUGAAGAAGGCCUUCGGGUUGUAAAGUACUUUCAGCGGGGAGGCGUUACCCGCAGAAGAAGCACCGGCUAACUCCGUGCCAGCAGCCGCGGUAAUUC
rnacentral:rRNA from 1 species